UCUCACUCUGUAGCCCAGGCUGGAAUGCAGUGGUGCGAUCUCAGCUCACCGCAACCUCCGCCUCCGGAGUUCAAGCAAUUCUCCUGCCUCAGCCUCUGAGUAGCUGGGACUACAGGCACACACCACCAUGCCCAGAGAGAAACAGAAGUGGCUGGUUAUGAAAACCGGCAGCACAGCUUUUUCCCUCCCUGUGGUGUCUUCCCAGAUAAGAAAGCAGGCCUGAAUCCCGGGUGCUGUUCUUCCAGACCACAUGAAAGAUUCUGCAUAUCUGUUACAUUCUAAGGCCACUUCACAACACUACCAAACCCAGCUUUACAGUUUGGAAGACUGAGAGAAUCAUACCCAAAGCCACAAACAUCCAAAUAUGGUGUUCUUCACAAGAAACUAAUAAUGAACUUGAGACAGAGUCUGCAGGGAUAGGUAUCAGAAGUCAAGUCUAAAGUAUAUGAGGUCUAUGUUCAAACAGGAGCCUGGACAUGACUGAGAUAAAGAAUGAUUCCCGAGCUGGGCACACUGGCUUAUGCCUAUAAUUCCAGUGACUCAGAAGGCUGAGGCAAGAGGAUUGCUUGAGGCCAAGAGUCUGAGGCUCUAUUGAGCUAUGAUUGCACCACUACUGUCCAACCUGGGGGACACAGCAAGAGCUUGUCUCUUAAAAAAGAAAAAAAAAGAUUGAGUCCAGAGUUAGAGCUACAGGAUAAAAAUAAGUUAACUGAACUCAGGGGGAGAAAGGAGGGGAACCUACUCCAAAUUCUAGCUCAGGUCUUACCUAAAUGUGGGCUGGCUCAGCUCCCAAGUGGCUGAGUGAGGUCAUGACUGAGAAGAAAGGACCCCUGGCCCAAGUCGUGAGUUGAAUGACUCUUAGGUUGAGAAGCUUUCGUACCUAAGAAUCAAGUGGCCAGUGGUGCACCAUGGGAGAGAUGAUCACCAAACUUUUCUUCUCUUUGAGGUCACACACCUAGAUUACCUGCCCCAGUCUCCCUUGCAGUUAGAUCUGGCUGUGAGGUUGAGUUUUAGCCAGUGGGAUAAAGAUGGAAGUUUCCACUGGCCUAACCCAUAAAUUCCUCCACAACUCUUCCCACUUUUAAUCUUAUGCCCCCAUGUCGUCUCUUCUCCCAGCCUUCUUCGUCUCAAUAAAUGUCACUAGCACAUAUCCAGUCAUUCAAGGAAAAACACAAUGGAGAAAACCAUCCUCAACUACCCAUUCCCUUUACCUCACUCUUUCCCAGCAUCCUGCAAAAUCUCGCUCCAAAUAUAGCUCCAGUUUGUCCACUUCCCUCCCUUUUCUCCAGUCUAUAACCUUGGUUUACUCCAUCACUAUCUCUCAAUUAGACUAUUGAAAUAAAAUCCUACCUGGAAUUUAAACUCUUAA
rnacentral:lncRNA from 1 species